AACAUUUUCAUUCGGAAAAAAAAAAAAAGUUCUAACAUUAUCAUUUUCCUUGUUCACUCUGUCACUUAUGGCCAAGUAACUCCUCUCUCUCUCUCUCUCUAUCUCUCUCUUCAUCUCUCUGGAAAAGUUACUUGUCUCUUCCUUUUCUCCUUUUCAGCAGCCAGGGUAGCUUCAUGCUGGAGCCUUCAAUGCUUCUUUUCCUCGUCCCUUGUAGUUGAAAUCCAUUAGCAAUGGAUUGCAGUUCCUUAAUCGUCAUCUUUCCUCAAAGUUGUUCCAAGACAAAGAAAGCAUGUAUCCACUGCUGAAUUUCCUCAGGGCAUGUAACUACAAAGGGAUGGUAAAAUUUUCACUAUAACUGCAUGAUGCAUUUGUCUAUGAUAUCUUAUUUUCCUAAAAUAGAAUGAACAAAUCACUCCGCUGACUUUUUUUUAAAAAAAAAAAAUUCAAGGAAGUAUUAGAUCAAAAGGACAUAACUUUCCUUUUUUUAGCAGUUCUUUUGUCCUUGUAACACUUUGGAACCAACAUGAAAAGACAUGCAAUGUCAUGUGUGAUUGGUGAAGUUACGAUGGGGCAUUACUCAUAACAAUGUAUCUUUAAUGGGAUUAGGAUAUCAAGAAUCUCAUCCAAUCCAAAACUACUUAGGCAAAUCAACUGGAAAUCUUAGCUAAAGUUCCUUGCUUUCUACUUUAGAUUUUAGUUGAAGAGAGAGAGAGAGAGAGAGAGAGGAGGGAAGUAGAGGGAGAAGGAGAGAGGGCCUCCGAAGGCCGUUGGAGGGUAGUAGCCGAGGUCGCCACGCUGCUUCCAAGUUCGGUGGAAGUUGGAGGAGGGUAUAGAGAGGGAAAGAGUGGGAGAGGGAGAGGAGGCUGUUGCAAGCCUCCGGAGGGCCUAUAAGGCUGCCGCACGGCCGCCAAGGCCGGUGGAAAGCUAGAGGAGGAGCGGAAAUGUAGAGGAGCUCCACCCUCCUCCAACAGCCUUUGGCGGCCUUCUCUCUCUCUUCCUUUCCUAUCCUAUCUCCGCCCUCCUCUAGCUUCCACCUAGCUCGGCAGUGGCACGGUGAUCUAGGCUGCCUUCUUGUGGCUUCCGGAGGCCCCCGCUCUCUCUCUUCCUCUCUUUCCUUCUCCCUCUCCCCCUUAUCAUCAGUUUCUCAUUUCGAUUGUAGGAACCAUCCUGGUCCGGCCCUGCGGGACUUGAUACAUCCUGAAUUGAACUAUUUGGGAUGGUUCUGCAAACCUUGUUCAAUCCUAUUUAGCACUCAUCUUUGUCUACAUAAUUGAGUGAACUUAUGCCACCUCUUCAAUUUGAAUUUUCAAAUGGUGCUGUACACAUCUGACCCCCAGGUAAGCAGUGUACUUGCCCACUUUGGGCAUGGGAUUUAUCAUCAUCUUGCGCUGUCUUCUAAUUGAAGAUCUAUUAUUGAGUUAGACGUGCACCUGUCUCUGUCUUAACCUUGUUUUUAGAUAGUAAGAUUUAUUCUUAGAUUUAACCUUUCUUUUGCUUAAAAACUGAUUGUGAAGUUAUAUGCAUAUUUGAUCUCUAAAAAUAUAUCACAUCAAGUUCAUUUUUUAUAAUCUUGAAUUUGGACCGAGUAUACAUCAUUUAAAUUAGGAAAAAAAAUUGCAUGAGUAUUUCAUGGGAUGCACAGUGAGCACUGCUUUUACUUUGAAAUUGAUUGUUACUAGUAGAUGAAUAUGUUCAUCACAUCUCUUAUCAAACGCUUUUAUAAUUUUCAUAAUUGAUGUCACUGUUUCUUUAAAUUUCUUUUUAAUGAUUUUCAUGUUUGGCCACCUGAAGGUUUUGGAUUCAUUGGACAAAAGGUAUCUAUGUGAAGGUUCUGCUUAAGUGCUUUAUUAUGUAGAUGGUUUAUUGUGGUUUGUGUAAUUUGUUGAUUUUUUUUCUAUCUUCUUGGGCAUACCCAUUUUCAGGUCCCAAAUUUCCAGCUAGGUCUUCAAGCCGGGUACGCGGAAAUCUGUCUUAAGUAUUAUAGUUACUUCUUGAUCAAGAAGUAUGACCUGUCUGUGAUGUUGCAAACUUUUAAGCCCAUUUAUAAUGUCUGAGAUAUUAAAAGUACGGAUUGGCAUGGUGAAUAUGAGAUUUGUUGAUUGUUUUAUGUAUUGAUCUUAAUAUUUGUUCACCAAAACUUCUGCAAAGUUACAUAAACUGAUAUGGUAAAUCUCGGGUGAUACUUCGGUAUCCUGCUGGCUGGCGUUUGAUAACACAUUAGUUUAUAUUCAAAAGAUAUAUAGAAAUAAUUUUAGAUAUACUGUACCCAUGAGUGCUUGAUACUGGCACAACAUGAUAUCUCAGCCAAGAAGAAAACCAAAAAAUUCCAGGUAAAGCCAAUAUAUAAACAACUUGGUCCUGGCUUCAGGGUUUUGCCCCUCUGGCCUCAGAGAAGAUGUUUGCCUGUUGUACCCCUUUCUCCUUAAAACUUCACUAGUGUGGAUUCUUCUAUCUCUGCUGUCUGCGCUCAACCUGUCAUCCUGAAAAGUAUCUUGGCUGCCAUGCGAUCCAGCUCUCUUAACACAAUCAUUUCCACCUCGGUGCUGUCACAUUUGCUGCUUGCUAGGGGGCAAUUAUAGUUCUAUUGGGAAACCAUGUAGCUCUUAAAAGAGGUGCUAAGGCUACAUCCCUCUGACUAGAAAUCAAUAUUUCAGGCCAGUGAUGCAAAAGGAUUGGAUCUGAGAGAUUUUGUAGUCUCUGGUCCGAUUUCUGUUUUCAAUUGUUGUGCAGUAAUUAAGGCAGAAGUUCUGCUGCUGGUGAAGAGCCUCAACAACAAUUUUGGCUGUCACAAAAGUUGCUCCUCUUUCUAUUUGUCCUUAUUUUUGAAUAAUGUACCUGGAGAUAGGCUUUCUUGCAAACAAAAUGUUGCCACCUUUCUGUUUGUUCUUAUUUGUUCUUACUUUCAACUUGGGCCGCUGGUUCCUUCUUUUGCUAUUUUGUUCAGUAAAUCUGGAAAGGUUGCAGAUGUGACUUGUUGUCUAUGUGAGACCUGGCUGAUUUUAA